rnacentral:rRNA from 1 species
UACGGAGGGUGCGAGCGUUGUUCGGAAUUACUGGGCGUAAAGGGCUCGUAGGCGGCCAACUAAGUCGGAUGUGAAAUCCCCAGGCUUAACCUGGGAACUGCAUCCGAUACUGGAUGGCUUGAAUCCGGGAGAGGGAUGCAGAAUUCCAGGUGUAGCGGUGAAAUGCGUAGAUAUCUGGAGGAAUACCGGUGGCGAAGGCGGCAUCCUGGACCGGCAUUGACGCUGAGUGAGCGAAAGCCAGGGGAGCAAACGGG